CAUUGCAGAUAGCUUAGUUUUGAUUAGGCCUUGGUAUACACAUGAAAAGUCACAUAUAAUAUGUUAAAUCUUAUAAAUACAAUCUUUAAAGAAUCAGCAAAAAUAGGUCACUUCCUGAUUGAGAAUGAGGCAGAAGCUGCUGCUUAAAUUUCCAACAAUUCAAGCUACAUAUUAUAGAAGACCAUCAACAUCAGGCUAUGGCAAAAUUUCUGUCAGUUGUCAGAUAAUGAAUGUGAACAGAUUUUUAAAAUUCUGAUUCUGUAGAAAAAAUAACAUGAGGAAAAAAAGUUUGAAAUAUUUCACUUGAAGCUUGUCUUAACCUGAAGGUUUGUGCUGAAAAGUCUGCUGUGAUUCUAACAGACUUUCCUUGGGUUGGAAUCAAAUUUAACAGUCUGGAUGUUUGCAAGAGAGAAGCGGGGAAUGACAACUAAGAACGCCUGUCAGCAAAAGUUCACUUAAAUCUUGAAAAAUGUGGGGAUACCUUUCUGGUGCAGUGAAAACAUGCCAGACCUCACAAGGUGCCUGCCUUAAAACAACUUUCUUGUGCUGAAAAAUGUGCAAAGUUUUAGUAAUGUCUUUAAUUAUUUUUUAAAAUCUGAUUUCUUAUUCUCUUACAAGAAUGUAAUUGAAACUGCAAUUAAAAAUAUAGUGUGUUUAAAUUUUUAAAAAUUGUUACACUAAAAGACAGGUUACAAUUGCAAUUAAUUUUCCUCAAACUACACCCUGCUGCUUCAAACACACUUGUUCCAUCAUUCUUGCCACUGUCUGAGGCGGAUCUGGAAGUGCUUUUUUUGUUUGUUGUGCUGCCUUGACUGUCUGUAUAGGUACCCAACCCAUUCACAAUGUUUACCUUUCACAUUCAUUUUGACUUUGGUGAAGAGCUAAAUGUCACAAGAGGGACAAUAAUAGCAAUGCAAUAGAUAUUUACAUUCAAAUAUUUACCGUGUUUUUAAUUCACCCCAAGAAAAAAAUUCAAGGUAAAGAGGAGCUACAAUGUAUCAUCAAGUUUUCUUUCUUAGGGAUUUCCUCCAUAUUUUCCAUGAAAUCAGUGUAACAGGUAAUGCCUAACUGAUUUAGAAAGGAAAAUCUGCCUUCCACUUUUUAAUUUUAUAGCAGAUGAUACAUUUUUCCAAAAUUAAAAAUUCUUGUAAAGUUCUUGUUACCUUACAAGAAUAUCUUAAAUUAAAAUACUGUAAUAUUUUGACAGUCAAGUAUGAUAGUCUUCUGUGUAGAAUAUGUUCUUUCUAUUAUUGUUUUAAGUCUGCAUUGUUAUUCGCACACAAUUGAAACUGAUGUGCUUUAAUAAUUCUAAGCACUGUUCUUCUACAUUCGAUUUAAACUUACACAUAUACUCUCAUGUACCUCAUAACCAUUUUUUACUCAAUGACAGACCACAUAUACAAUGAUAUAUAACACAUAGACCAGAUGUUGAGUAGGCUAUAAGAUCUCCGUUUGUGCAAAUACACUAGAUGAUAGUCUCAUAUUGGUGACAUCACCUGUUCAUGCAUUUCUCAGAACAUAUUUUGUUAUUAUGCAGUGCGUAUAUAAUUAUGAUAUAAUUAAAAUUUCUUUGCCAUGUUACUUUCUCAUAAAAAGACUUUAAAUGGAAGAAUAUAAAGGUUAGAAAUUUGCUUUGCUCAUUAAUGGAUGGAUGUAAUCAACACAUUACUUUAGUGAUACCCAUGGAAUUAUUACAUUCAUCUCUUCACCAAACAGCAAAUGAUCAUUUAAUGUUAUAUGGAAUCCAAUACUUAUUUAUUUAUUUAGAACAUCAUAAAGUAAGAAGUAUUUUGAUACUAUAAAAAUAUCAUUGCAAAAUAUCUUCAAAAUAAAAAUUUUGAAGAAAUUAGAUAGAAGUUUGGUUGUCUAGAUAGAAUCAGAAUUUUUAAAAUUUUAGGUUUACUUGUACAAGCCUUUAAUGAAUCACAACAUAUCUAAUUCCAUGUUCAUAAUCAUAUGUUCCACUGAACAUAUUAUGUGGAAUAUAAUACUGAUAAGAUUAUACUGAAUGAUCAUUCUAUUUAUGACUGAGGAUAAAGAAUUCAGUUUAAAACUUCAUGUCUUCUUUCCUAUUUAUGUGAUGAAUAUGUGCUUUGAAUUAAAUAAAUCGUACUUCUGCUGGGUAAAUGUACCCAAUA